UUCCUACGGGACGCAGCAGUAGGGAAUUUUCGUCAAUGGGCGCAAGCCUGAACGAGCAAUACCGCGUGAACGAGGAAGGUCUUCGGAUCGUAAAGUUCUGUUGAAGGGGAAAAAGAGCGGAGAGAGGAAAUGGUCUCCGAUUGAUAUUACCCUUCGAGGAAGUCACGGCUAACUACGUGCCAGCAGCCGCGGUAAUACGUAGGUGGCGAGCGUUAUCCGGAUUCACUGGGUGUAAAGGGAGCGUAGACGGCGAGACAAGUCUGGAGUGAAAGGCCGGGGCCCAACCCCGGGACGGCUCUGGAAAC
rnacentral:rRNA from 1 species